rnacentral:rRNA from 1 species
UACGAAGGGGGCUAGCGUUGUUCGGAAUCACUGGGCGUAAAGCGCACGUAGGCGGAUUGCUAAGUCAGGGGUGAAAUCCUGGAGCUCAACUCCAGAACUGCCUUUGAUACUAAGGAUCUUGAGUUCGGGAGAGGUGAGUGGAACUGCGAGUGUAGAGGUGAAAUUCGUAGAUAUUCGCAAGAACACCAGUGGCGAAGGCGGCUCACUGGCCCCGAUACUGACGCUGAGGCACGAAAAGCGUGGGGGAGCAAACAGG